AACAAGGGAGGACAGUCCCCUCCUCGGGAUCGCCCUACUUCCCUCUCGGAGCAUCAAGUGGGGCCAUGCUGCCGGCAGUAGUGGCUCCUUUCCAGAAGCUGCGUGCUCACGGUGGGCUUUGCACCGGCCUGACUUGCGGGUCUGCAAACCGGAGAUGAAAGAGCGGCUGCCACGAAGAUGGUGGCUCUCUUGGGAAAGGGCCAUGGGAGAAAAUGGACUCUGAGCCCGGCCCUCCAGAGACGGCCUCCCGGCCCUUGUGAUAAAUGGCAGCAUUAACAAGGUAGGCACGCCAACUCCUGAGCUGAUUCGUGGGUCACCUAGAAAAGAAAUCCAAUAAUAAUAACAACAUUAAUUGCAGCUGUCACUUAUGGAACACGGGCGAAGUGCCCAAUGCUAUGCUAAAUGCCCGAUAAUGUGCAAGGUCUAUGGAGUCUAAUUCAUGCAACAACCUUACGAAACAAGGUAUUAUUACGUGUGUGUGUGCUGUACAAAGAAGCUCAGAUCUGUUAGGGACUUUAUAGCUGGAGUGCACAGAGUGCUGGGUUUCCUCUCAGAAUUUCUGACUCAGUAGGUCUAGACUGGUGUCCCCAAGAUUUUCAUUGUAACAAGCGCCCAGAUGCUGUUACUGCUGACCUAAGGACCAUGCUGAAGAAACACUGAUUUUAGUCAUUUGUUCAAGCUUACACAACAAAUAAGCAAGAGGAAGAGUUUUCAAAGUGAAAUUAAAAAUUUGACUUAGAAAUGUACUCUUCAAAUAUCUGUAUUCAAAUUUUCUAAAAUCACACUUUUGAAUUAAGAACUGGUUGUCGUAUCACAAAGCAUGGUAGCUAGGAUAGCUGCUUAUUUGUCUGCAAUGUCCUGUUUAAUGAGGUUUUUCGUGGCACAAAACAGUUGGUGAGACCUUAAAAGGGGAGCAUUUCAGGGACAUUUGCAGAAGGACCAGAGAGUCCUUAAAUCACCUCUGCCUGGUCCUGUUUGAGGUCAGCAGUCCUGCAGAAGUAAAGGAUUUGCAAGAGCGGUAACCCAGGUCCAGCUGCAAAAUUCAUUAGAAGUUCCAAGAUGGAGCCCAGCUGGGCAAGCCACACCUGGCUGCCAUCUGUGCCGGCGAGGCAUGUUCUUUCCUCGGCUCCUGACCAAGGAGAACUCUUGAGUAUCAGAAGGCUCUGGAUCCCUUGACUGCUGCUCAGGUCAGGCACUGGCAACCAGUCAGCCCAGGCAGGAGACCAUUGCCGCAAGCUGCCAUUGGUAUGAAAACUGAGAUGUGUUGUGGUUCAUACUGGCUGCUUUGGGACAGUAGGAGAGAAGCUUCACAGAAACAUGCAGUGGGAAAUAUGAAAGGAGACCAAGGACACAGAGAUGGAGCAAGAAUAAAAGCUGAAAGUCUCUUAGUGAAUACAGUAAUCCUGCAAAAGGUCAUUGGUUCCUGUAUUUGGUUGUAAAUACAAAGAACUAGAAUCUAAAUAUGUAGGCAAAGUGCACUUGAAGAAAUGUAAAUACUCAAGGACUUGAAGAAAAGAGAUACAUGAAGAAAAACAGUGGGUGUCCUGGACUGAGACAGAUGGGUGCUUGCAACGGUGCAGGACGAGCGGAGAAGGUGUGCGCUAAUUUGCUCUCUAGAGCCUGAAAUCUCAGAGCCGAUUCUAUAGAUUAAAUUGGCUUGUAUUUGAGGGCCUUUCCUCUUCUCUCUAUUGGAUGUAUUCAUCUGGACGUUCACUCAUUUAUUCAUUCAGUGGUUUGUUUUGUUUUUUACUGAGCAUGUUAUGGGCCAACUACUCUUACAGACAGACAGUAAAAGCUCAGACUCCAGACUCUGCUCUCCUGAAGGUCAAUCAUUAAUGAAUGAGACAAUACACACAAUAAAUUGUAUAGCAGAUUAAGAUCUGAAACGUUUCAAAGAGAAAAGUUAAAACGGAAGAAAGAUAUGGCUUAACAGGUGGUGUGGUUGAAAGAUGGCUUGUCUAUUACCAGCUACAUUUACCAAGGUUGUUACAGUUUGGAUCAAGUUUUUGGAUAAUGAUUCAAUCAAGAGCACUCUAACUUGCCUGGUGUAUUAACCCAUCGAUGGAUUCAUAAUGUGAUGGAAUUACUAGGAGGUAGCAGAAACAGGAGAUGCAAACCAGCUGAAGGCAGUCAGUGAUGAGAAUGUUAUGUUGGGAAUUAUAUCUUGUUCCCAGUCCCUUUGUUUCUGGCCCUUUUGUUUUCCCUCAACUUCCCAGCCACCGUGAGGUGAGUCUCUGUCACAUCUUUCUGCCUUGAUAUUUCUGCCUUUCCACAGACCUAAGAGCAACAGAGCAACUAACCAUGGACUGAACCUGCUGGAACCAUGAGCCCAAAUGAAUCUUUGUUUUUAUAAGUUGAUUUUAUCAGGCAUUUUGUCACAGCAAUAAAAAGACAAUAUAACCAUCAAUAAAUACCCUUAGGCUACAAAGAGAAGAAAAUUCAGUCACACUGGUCUAAGGAAAAAUUUUGGCAGUACAUAACCCAGAAGUCCUGGGACUAAUAAUUUUAAUGGGCACUGUUACUUUCCCUUCUAGCAUUCGCUCCACUGAUAUUUUCUGACAAAGCUCAGAUUUUCUGGCGAUCUAACUCUCAUUUGACUUCUGGACCCCUGGGGAAAUGGAACUUCUCCCUAGCUCAGGGUUUAAACCAGCAGGAGCCUUCAUUUCUCCACUGAUUGCAGUGAUUGUUUCUGGAGAAGCAAGGGUCCAAAGCAGUAGAUGUCCGAAGCAUCACUUGGGGGCUUUCUUUUGCUGAACCUGGAGGGCAAAAAUCAUUGCUGGCAGGUACCUUAUAAUCAAGGGGUGGGGGAGGAAGCUGCUUUAGAAGCUGCUUUACUUUAAAAAAGAGAGAUGAAGAGGAGACACAAGAACAAAAAUAAAAUCCCAAGUCUGGAUGACAACAUUGAUCCAGUGGAUAAACACUCCAGAGUAAAUCUGCCAAUGUCUAGACUUACAGUUAAAUGAGUCAAAAACAAUCUUCUUUAUGGCUUGGAGCCAUUGAGUUGGGCUUUCUUUUAGUUUAACUGAAAAAUAAAAUGCCUAGUUCAGGCACAGUUAUGACUGGAUGCUUGCUCACCACGGGCUCCAGCUUUUCUCUGUGAGGGCCUCCUUCAGCCUGGCCUCUCUGAUGUCCACUGACAGCCUGAUCCCUACAGGACCUGCCGGGCCUCUGCAUCCUCCUGGCUGUGUUGCUCAGGGUCUGCAGCAGUCUUUGAAUCAAGCAUUGAGGUUGAUCUGGGACUGAUGUCUUCUUCUAGAGCCAGGGCUGAAGCCUGAUUCAUUUGAAUCACAUUGUCUGAGAAAGUUGCUUCUUCCCAUUAGGGAAUUGUUCCUAGAAAGUUGGCUUGCAGAUGUUGGACAAUCAGAAAGCAUGAAGCUAUGCCCUAAUAUGUUUUUUUUUUUUUUUUUUUUACUUGGAUGUCUCACAUUUCCCUCUGCAAAGUGAGAACUUAAGACAAGGUGACUGCUCCCAGUAGGCUGGUCACCAAAGACAACUUCUCUUGCCAUUUUCUGUUGCCUACUCUUGGGACCAAAUUAAAUUCAAUGGGAAAGAUUUUGUCUGUAAUUCCUCUAUUCACCCAUCUUGAAAAUCACCUACCACUGAAUACAUUGUUGUGGAAAAUUCA